rnacentral:rRNA from 1 species
UACGGAGGGUGCGAGCGUUAAUCGGAAUCACUGGGCUUAAAGCGUGUGUAGGCGGGCGGGCAAGUACCUUGUGAAAUCCCACGGCUCAACCGUGGAACGGCUGGGUAUACUGCCUGUCUUGAGCCAACUAGGGGCGAGCGGAACAGACGGUGGAGCGGUGAAAUGCGUAGAUAUCGUCUGGAACGCCGAAGGUGAAAACAGCUCGCUGGGGCUGCGCUGACGCUGAGACACGAAAGCCAGGGGAGCGAACGGG